rnacentral:rRNA from 1 species
UCCUACGGGAGGCAGCAGUGGGGAAUAUUGCACAAUGGGCGGAAGCCUGAUGCAGCAACGCCGCGUGCGGGAUGACGGCCUUCGGGUUGUAAACCGCUUUCGCCUGUGACGAAGCGUGAGUGACGGUAAUGGGUAAAGAAGCACCGGCUAACUACGUGCCAGCAGCCGCGGUGAUACGUAGGGUGCGAGCGUUGUCCGGAUUUAUUGGGCGUAAAGGGCUCGUAGGUGGUUGAUCGCGUCGGAAGUGUAAUCUUGGGGCUUACCCCUGAGCGUGCUUUCGAUACGGGUUGACUUUGAGGAAGGUAGGGGAAGA